rnacentral:rRNA from 1 species
UACGUAGGAGACAAACGUUAUCCGGAGUUACUGGGCGUAAAGGGCGUGUAGGCGGUUGGUUAAGUCUGGCGUGAAAGCUCUCGGCUAAACCGGGAGAGGUCGUUGGAUACUGGCCGACUAGAGGACGGUAGGGGCGUGUGGAAUUCCGGGUGUAGUGGUGAAAUGCGUAGAGAUCCGGAGGAACACCAGUGGCGAAGGCGACACGCUGGGCCGUACCUGACGCUAAAGCGCGACAGCAUGGGGAGCAAACGGG